rnacentral:ribozyme from 14 species
AAAGUAAGUUUGUACGAAGAGAUGGCAAACAGCCUUUUUCUUUUGCCCUCUGUCUUUCUCUUUUUCUUUUCUCUUUUUCUUUCUUUUUUUCAUUGAUUAAAAAUAGACUUCUGCGAUAUGGUUUUGUUUAAUUCUAAGAAAAAGCUCUUAGUUACAGCUUUUGUAUUACUUUUGACGAUCACCCAAACAAAGAAAAGAGCGUCUUAAAACACUGUGAGUUUGUCUAUAUUU